rnacentral:rRNA from 1 species
GUGGGGAAUAUUGGACAAUGGGCGAAAGCCUGAUCCAGCCAUGCCGCGUGUGUGAAGAAGGUCUUCGGAUUGUAAAGCACUUUAAGUUGGGAGGAAGGGCAGUAAGUUAAUACCUUGCUGUUUUGACGUUACCGACAGAAUAAGCACCGGCUAACUUCGUGCCAGCAGCCGCGGUAAUACGAAGGGUGCAAGCGUUAAUCGGAAUUACUGGGCGUAAAGCGCGCGUAGGUGGUUUUGUAAGUUGGAGGUGAAAACCCCGGGCUCAAACUGGGAAAUGCCUCCAAAACUGCAUGACUAGAGUACGGUAGAGGGUAGUGGAAUGUCCUGUGUAGCGGUGAAAUGCGUAGAUAUAGGAAGGAACACCAGUGGCGAAGGCGACUACCUGGACUGAUACUGACACUGAGGUGCGAAAGCGUGGGGAGCAAACAGGAUUAGAAACCCCAGUAGUCC